GCCUUGUUGUCAAUAUGGUCUCUCAAACAAGAUUAGCCUGUUAUCCCUAAGGUAGCUUUUUCUAUUUUUCAGUUUUUCUGGAUCUAAGAGAGGUUUUAGUUUUUCUCUAGUUGCCCCAACUAAGCUUUCUUUCAGUAGGGUUAAGUGUUAAGCUAAGCUCUAUAGGGUCUUUUCGUCUUUUUGUU
rnacentral:rRNA from 1 species